GAAUAUUACAUCACUAGAAAAGUGCACGUGGUACAGUGUAACGGUGUCCGUUAAUAACUCCAAGUACAUCGGUCCACCGAGUAAAAACGCCACUAUAAGAAUUGGAAAUGCACCGAUGUCCGGUCCCACGAAUGUUUCUGCUAUCCCGACAAACUCUUCUUCAAUUGCUGUGUCCUGGGGUCCUGUAACAAUGGACAAWUUAACCUGUGACAUCACCGGAUAUGACGUCAAGUUGACACAACACGAAUGUGCAGAUAUAAAAAGCGGUGAUUGGAUUAUUGAAUCGACCAGUAGAAGAUCUACGAUUUUUAGCGGACUAUCACCUUCUACAAUGUACUCUGUCUCCGUGAGAGCAAUUACGAUAGCCGGUCCAGGUCCUUAUAGCAAACCAAUUUGUGUCUCAACCACUCAAAGAAAUAUACAAGAUAAACAAGCUCAAGAAUGACGAUUUUUGGGUUGCUGCCUGAGUCUGCCUCGCUUUCGUGYAAAACCACAGGCUCCUCGCGYAACCUAAUUUUCUAAUCACGAAGACCCCGCUCURUUCUUGAUGAUGAUAAGGAUGACGACGGCUAUGAUAAGCAGUUUCAGCACUGAGUAGAUAUCGGAAAGGAAGGCAGUAGAUCAUYGUCAGCAAAGACWGUCAUGAUUGGUCUUGUGGUAGCAAGAUGUGAUUAUCCUUCUAGCUGUGCUUACAGUCCUAACAUGGAAAAGGUAGGGAUCUCACAUCUACAAACUCUACUUACGUUCCAAUUCACUUCGUUCAAACGAACGUAAAAUAUUUUUCUUCUAUAUUACGAAUAUAGUAAUGACAACAACGUUGUUGUAUAUGGUAGGUUCGCUUGCGGACCAUUAUUCUGAGCUUCACAAAGUAAUCACUUGCGUUUUAUAAUCAUUCUAUAUUGGUGAGGUCAGAAAUACUGUUAUUUAGGUAUACCCGAUAACUAUUGGCUUACUUGUGUUCUAUACUCGCAUCUACUACAAUUAUGCAUAAACUUAAGGCUUCGUCGUUAUCUUACCUCGAAAAAGCCGCUUCUCCGAUGAUCCCGAAGUAUAUCUUGGUCGUUUGUUCUGU